GAAAGAACGUAGCGAAAUGCGAUACUUGGUGUGAAUUGCAGAAUCCCGUGAACCAUCGAGUCUUUGAACGCAAGUUGCGCCCGAAGCCACUAGGCCGAGGGCACGCCUGCCUGGGCGUCACACGUCGUUGCCCCCCCCCCAUCUACUCCUUCGGGAUUGCGGGGGGCGGAUGAUGGCCUCCCGUGCGCCUAGCCGCGCGGUUGGCAUAAAUACCAAGUCCUCGGCGACGCACGCCACGACAAUCGGUGGUUGCGAAACCUCGGUUGCCCGUCGUGUGCGUUCGUCGCGCAUCGAGGGCUCGAAAAAAUGCUCGGCUCCGGCUCGGCUUUCAACGCGACCCCAGGUCAGGCGGGGUUACCCGCUGAAUUUAAGCAUAUCAAUAAGCGGAGGA
rnacentral:misc_RNA from 1 species